GACGAACGCUGGCGGCGUGCUUAACACAUGCAAGUCGAACGAUGAACUUGGAGCUUGCUCUGGGGGAUUAGUGGCGAACGGGUGAGUAACACGUGAGUAACCUGCCCUGGACUCUGGGAUAGCUUCGAGAAAUCGGAGCUAAUGCCGGAUAGGACCUUGCACCGCAUGGUGUGGGGUGGAAAGUUUUUCGGUUUGGGAUGGACUCGCGGCCUAUCAGCUUGUUGGGGAGGUAAUGGCUCACCAAGGCGUCGACGGGUAGCCGGCCUGAGAGGGUGACCGGCCACACUGGGACUGAGACACGGCCCAGACUCCUACGGGAGGCAGCAGUGGGGAAUAUUGCACAAUGGGCGCAAGCCUGAUGCAGCAACGCCGCGUGCGGGAUGACGGCCUUCGGGUUGUAAACCGCUUUUAGUAGGGAAGAAGCCUUCGGGUGACGGUACCUGCAGAAAAAGGACCGGCUAACUACGUGCCAGCCGCCGCGGUAAAAC
rnacentral:rRNA from 1 species